UACGGAGGGGGUUAGCGUUGUUCGGAAUGACUGGGCGUAAAGCGCGCGUAGGCGGAUCAGGAAGUUGGGGGUGAAAUCCCGGGGCUCAACCCCGGAAUGGCCUUCAAAACUCCUGGUCUUGAGUUCGAGAGAGGUGAGUGGAAUUCCGAGUGUAGAGGUGAAAUUCGUAGAUAUUCGGAGGAACACCAGUGGCGAAGGCGGCUCACUGGUCCGGUACUGACGCUGAGGUGCGAAAGCGUGGGGAGCAAACAGG
rnacentral:rRNA from 1 species